AGCAGUCGCCGCGGUAACACGUAGGGUGCGAGCGUUAAUCGGAAUUACUGGGCGUAAAGCGAGCGCAGACGGUUAUUUAAGCAGGAUGUGAAAUCCCCGGGCUUAACCUGGGAACUGCGUUCUGAACUGGAUAGCUAGAGUGUGUCAGAGGGGGGUAGAAUUCCACGUGUAGCAGUGAAAUGCGUAGAGAUGUGAAGGAAUACCGAUGGCGAAGGCAGCCCCCUGGGAUAACACUGACGUUCAUGCUCGAAAGCGUGGGUAGCAAACAGGAUUAGAUACCCCCGUAGUCCCUGUCUCUUAUAC
rnacentral:rRNA from 1 species